UGAACUAGAAGAAUCCGGACUAUCUUUUUAUUCCAUGGGUUCAGCUUAUCCACUUUAUGGAUACAUUGUCCAGGAUGAGGAUAGACAUCUAACUUGGUCCUAUGUUUGAGUAAGGACACAGAUUGAAGGAUUAGAGGAUCUUAACCAGCGGGUCCGGGAUCUGGUUUAGAAAAGAAUUAUUGUAUUCAACAAACAAAUCAUCUCAGGAAACAUGA